rnacentral:rRNA from 1 species
GACGAACGCUGGCGGCGUGCCUAAUACAUGCAAGUAGAACGCUGAAGGAGGAGCUUGCUUCUCUGGAUGAGUUGCGAACGGGUGAGUAACGCGUAGGUAACCUGCCUGGUAGUGGGGGAUAACUAUUGGAAACGAUAGCUAAUACCGCAUAAUAGCAGUUGUUGCAUGAUAACUGUUUGAAAGGUGCAAUUGCACCGCUACCAGAUGGACCUGCGUUGUAUUAGCUAGUUGGUGGGGUAACGGCUCACCAAGGCGACGAUACAUAGCCGACCUGAGAGGGGGGUCGGCCACACUGGGAACGAGACACGGCCCAGACUUCUACGGGAGGCAGCAGUAGGGGAUCUUCGGGAAUGGACGGAAGUCUGACCGAGCAACGCCGCGUGAGUGAAGAAGGUUGUCGGAUCGUAAAGCUCUGUUGUAAGGGAAGAACGAGUGUGAGAGUGGAAAGUUCACACUGUGACGGUACCUUACCAGAAAGGGACGGCUAACUACGUG